CUCUCAACAUUUAUUAUGAAAUGCAGGUACAAGUACAUGAGAAGAGGAAGGCCCCCAUUGAAUAGAGCAACCCGAAAUGGGUCAUUUCAAGAGGAUGUUGAUAAGCUCUUCGAGAUGCUUGAGAGAUUUAUCUCUGCCCAGUAGGCUAAAGAAAAGAGGAGAGAGUUGUCUAAUCCUCGACAUUGCCACAAUAUGAGCUACCCCUUCAACGAGAGGAUCCAAUACCACCUCGGUAUAACCCUGCUCCCCCAUCGUAUCAUCCGGCACCGCCGCAGUACAAUCCGGUGCUCCCACCAUACAAUCAGGUACUGCUAGAGGAUCACCCGGUCCCUCACUAGCAUAAUCUAAUUCCUUUUCAAUAGGAUCCAACUCCAUCCGGGAUGGACCCAAGCUAUAUUGAGAAGUGCAAAAGAUUUAACCUAUCUACU
rnacentral:lncRNA from 1 species